rnacentral:rRNA from 1 species
GAUGAACGCUGGCGGCAGGCCUAAUACAUGCAAGUCGAGGGGUAGAGGAGAGCUUGCUUUCCUUGAGACCGGCGCACGGGUGCGUAACGCGUAUGCAACCUACCUUUAUCUGGGGGAUAGCCCGGAGAAAUCCGGAUUAACACCGCAUAAAAUCACAGUACGGCAUCGUACAAUGAUCAAAUAUUUAUAGGAUAGAGAUGGGCAUGCGUGUCAUUAGUUAGUUGGCGGGGUAACGGCCCACCAAGACCACGAUGACUAGGGGAUCUGAGAGGAUGACCCCCCACACUGGUACUGAGACACGGACCAGACUCCUACGGGAGGCAGCAGUAAGGAAUAUUGGUCAAUGGAGGCAACUCUGAACCAGCCAUGCCGCGUGCAGGAAGACGGCCCUCUGGGUUGUAAACUGCUUUUAUUCGGGAAUAAACCUGCUUACGUGUAAGUAGCUGAAUGUACCGAAGGAAUAAGGAUCGGCUAACUCCGUGCCAGCAGCCGCAGUAAAAC